CACGACCCACUGUUAUCUUAGUGGCCCACUUACCUGCAGAUUGGGUCAGGCUGCUUUUGCUUUGGUGGUGAAAUUAAACCCUUCUACAGUGGGUUGUUUUGUUAGGAACGCAUUGUUGAGGUAGUAGUCAAGGGCUGAAUUUUCUCCUUUUUCCUUCUCUUCCUCGACAUCCUCGUCUUGAUCCUCCUCAUCCCCUUCCCCAUACUCAUUGUGCCUUUAGAAUUGCAUGGACGGG
rnacentral:lncRNA from 1 species